AGUGAAUCCCUGCAAUUCUGAAAUCAAACAAGCAAGGAGGUAAAACUCCAAGGAGCCCGGAUUUAAUUCCAGAGAAUCUAGGAACAAACAGAAGGAGAGGAAAAAAGGAAAAAAAAAAGGCAUUUCCAACUGCAUCUAUUUAUGUCUCACUUUGGGGGCAAAGUGUGAGCACUUGUGGAUCUAAUUCUUGGCAGAACUUCAGGCAUCGUUCUUCACCAUGGACAGCCUGGAAAAAGACCAAUUCGAAGGAACCGAAUACCAGCUCAAAGAAGGCAGGGCGACCACCACCUCUGGUCCUUUCGGCUGUGGCCCCCACUGUGCCAUUUCCCCCCAGAAGCCUUGGAUGCUUGAACUUCAAACGCCUGCUUUUUCUUCUUCAAUCGAGAGACAAUCGGCUCAGCCCGGUUCGUCAACCCUGAUUUAAUUCACCGAGCCGCCUGAGCCUUCCCGACAGGUGGGUGAAUAAACA